UCAUCCUGCGGGCAGGGGCAGUGAAGGUCCCAGAGGCCACCAGGGGCUCCUCCCCCUUCCCCGGCCUUGGGUUCAGGCUGUGUGGUCAUGGAGGGUCAGAGGAGAGGUGGAGCAGCAGCUAGCCUCUGCAGGGCACCAUUCCUAACAGGCAGGAGGCCCGCGCACAAGCCAAGAGAGACCCAGGGCAGAGCCAGGCCCAUCGCUGCGCUGGGCAGAGCAGGGACGGGCGCUCACCUCUGGGGGCGGCGGCCCGAGCUCGGCGUCAGUCUGGCCAUCAUCGUUGUCUUCGGGCGGCUCCGGGCUGGUGGGUGGCGGCUGUUGCCACACGAUGGCCUCCUGGGCAUGCUGCUUGCGGUACAGGUCGGUUCGCUGGGUCAGGCUCACCCGCCUCACCACCUUCCUGGGGAGAAGGGAGGAGGAGGGUGAGGGGAGGGAGAGCGCCGGGAGAACCCUGCCUGCCCCCUUGGACUCUGCCCCCUUGGACUCUGCCCCUAGUUCGGCUGGCACGCCACCAGGGGGGGCUGACGUCUUCGAGGACAGGCCUGGGGCGGGGCCUGCUGGGGGCGGCUCACCCGCGGCUGCCUGCGCUGGAGGUGCGGCGGCGCAGCAAGGGGCGCUGGCGGCCCUGGGCGCGCAGGAGGGCGUCAUGCUUGUGCUUCAACUCCAGCAGCUUGGCCCGCACCUCCUCGUCCCCGCACACAUCUGAGAAGUGGGCGCAGGCGUCAGGGCGCUCUCCCCGCCUGUCCUCUCCCCCGGGUGGAGAAGGGCCCCAAAAGCUCACCAAGGGGUGUCUCGUCCAUCAGGGACUUCGCGUUCAGGUCGGCCCCGUGCGCCACGAGCAGCUCCACCAGGGGCACCUGUGGGCGGCCGGCGGGAGCUGGAGAAGGCUGUGCUUCCGGGAAGCCCCUUCCCACCUGCUCCCGCCUGCACUCACCUGGCCCCAGUAGGCCGCGGCGUGCAGCGGCUCCCAGCCGUCUUGGUCCUUAGCGCUCAGGCUGGCUCGGUGCUCCAGCAGCAGGGCAGCCGCCUCGCUGAACCCGUUGGCUGCUGCGAUGUGCAGCUGCAGGCGAGCGCCCGGCCUGAAUUCAGCCCACGCCCCCACUCCAAGCAGCAAGGCCCCCGGCCCCCGCGCCCGUCACCCCCCAGCCCUCACCAGUGUGGCCCCGUGGUCCAGGGGGGCAUGGAGGUCUGCCCCGGCCUGCAGCCGGCUCCGGAUGUCGUCCAGCAUGCGUAGUUCCGGCACGGCGCGGGCGGCCUCGAUGCUGUCCUGGGUGAUGCCUGCGAGGCGGCAGGCUCAGAGCGAGCGCGCCCGGGAGCCCUCCCACAGCCACAGCGCCGCACCUACCGCGGUCGGCCAUGGCGGUCUCCAGGCAGUCCAGCGUCUGCUCGUCGUCACACAGGUCGUAAGGCAUGUUCCCAUCGGUGUUGACUGCCAGGAGAUCGGCACCACUGCAAGGAAGAUGCACGGGGUGCUGGGCACCGGGCCUUCCCCACACGCCGGGCUCUUCACUGGAACCCCUCAGGAGGCACGGGGUAGCUGUGGAGGAGGUACCGGGUCCACCUGCUGCUGGGAGAGGUGCCCUUGGAGCCCAUCGGCUGCCCCUCAGUCCUAGACAGGCCUCCUGCAGUCCGUACCCAUCAGGCCUCCAGGGACAGCAGUGCCCAAACGGGCACUAUGUGCCUGCCUGUUGGGGGAGCAGGGACCCUAGGGAGCACAGAGUGGUGGGGGCACAGGACCAGGCAGCCACACUGAGAGGGCUACAGAGCUGCAGGAAACAUGACCUAGGGAAGGAGGGUGGCAACGGGUGCUCAGGACACGGACAGCGUGCCCAUGUGCAGUGGAGGAACAGGCCUGUCUCUGCACACCCUACAUCCCCGCCUGCCCCACAGGGGCAGCCCCUGACCUCUCUCCCACCACAGAAACCUGGAGUGAAGGGGAAGGAAGCAAGGAGGCUUGUGGACCCUGGGUGAGGCCACCACCCCACUGCUCUGCCUCCUUCUGUGUUAAAGGUAAAGGCCCUAGCUGUGCCCAUGUACCCUCUCCUCACAAGCCACCUGGCUUCUUCACUCCCUUUCCCUCCUUACCAGUUCAGUCCUCCUCAUUGACCAAAGCAUUUCUCUGCACACCCUGUGGGGGCCCAAGGCCUGCCCUCUCUGCAGGACGACGCAUGCUGGGUGGGCAACGCUGCCCUGGGCACAUGCUCAUUUCCCUGGGGCCCCAGGCCUUGCUCUCCAUGCAGGACACAGGCAGGGUCAGCAAACGUGAAGGCGGGAACACAGGAGGCCGAGAGCCAGGAAUACUGCCCAAGAGGAGCCCCCGAGCUGCCAUCUGAGAGGAAGCCCCUCCCUGCCACAGGCGCCCAGCCGGCCCUACCUGGAGAUGAGUAGCUCCACCAGGUGCAGGUGGCCACAGGUGGCCGCAGCAUGCAGAGGCGUCCAGCACUCGCUGUCGCAGGCAUUGACGCUGGCCCCUGACUCCAGGAGCUGCUGCACCAUCUCCCGGGAGUCAUCGAUGCAGCACUGCAAACCAUGCAGCGUGAGCGGCCAGAGUGUGGGGGCCCCCCCUGCCCCACCCACCCCCAGUGCAGGCUGACCUGGUGCAGGGCCGUCAGGCCGUCCUCGUUGGCCAGGUCAGGACUGACCCCGCUCCCAAGGAACUGGCGGACUGCAAAAUGGUGGCGAGGUGAGGACAGGGGGUCCUGUCCCUGCUCAGGCCUGGGCCUAGAGUACCGUAGUCAACUGUGCUUCAGCCAGGACUUGGGAAAGGACAAGGAAGACAGUGGUGCCCACGGCAGGAGGCACACUAGAUCCCAGGAGGGGCAAGCAGGAGCACCAGGCAUCUGUCUGCCCCAGGCCAGCGGCACUCCCAGAAGCCCCCUGCCUCCAACCACCUGCAGGCCUUUUGUGGACGUGCUCCAGCCUCCCAACCCCCAGAACAGGCCCUCCUCCAGUGUGAGAGGAGGCCUCCAACAAUCCCACACUCCCUUCCACCUGAGAAGAGCUCCCUGCCCCGAGGCUGCCACAGCCAGGCAGUGCCUUGGGCUGGGGAGGCAUCAUUCACAGGAAUCGGUAGCUCCCUCGGCAUUUCCCCAACAACCAGCCCAGCCUUGUGUUCACCAUGUCCCCCAAUCCUCCAGGACCUGACCGGAGGCUCCCCACCACCAGAGCACAUGCCUGCCCUUGCUCCCCUCCCCUUCCGAGAUCCCAGCUCAGGCCCAGGCUCUCGCUCAGGUCACUAGUGUCCUCCCUGACGGUGCCUGGGGUGCUGUAGGACGGCUCCACGCCUUCCCACAGCUCCCAGUGGCACCACGGCACCCUCUGCCUCUUCCCUCUGCCUCCCGGAAGGGCUCCUGUCCACAUAGGAAGAUGCAGGCCAGGAGCUGCCAGCUACUCCUCACCCUCUGCCCUGGAAGGAGGCAGGAAGGCAUCUCAAGGGCCACCACAGUGCCUCUUGCUCCCAGACCCCAAGCACCAGAAGUGGAACCCACACAGCUGGGGCUGCGAGAAGCAUGGGACACAGGUCAUUUCGGGCAGCAGCCUCCAGAAAGACAACACUGGGGGGAAAGAGGACCUGCUUCCGGGGCCCUCGGCCAGCUGCCUCCUUCCGGGGGCGCUCCCCAGGGCCCUUCUUGCCCUGGGCCUCCUUCUCAGCCUGGGCCCACAUCUUCACCUGCUGGGCACGGCGCUUCUGGGCGUGCUUCAGCCGCUCCUGCGUGCUCAUCCUGCCCACCAUGGGCAUCUCUGCCAGCAGCUCCAGCUGCACACCUGGGAAGUGGGGAACAAGGAAGCACAUUAUCAAGGCCGGCUCGGGGCAGAGCGGCCCCAGGGGAGCACCUGUCCUGGGCCUCAGGUGAGACCAGGCUUCCGGCCGUCUCAGGCACUGCCCUGUGUGAGGCCCACCCUCUGUCCGCAGAGAGCACUGCAGGGCAACAAUCCUGGGGAUACCAGGAGCUGCUCUGCCCCAUCCUGCCCCACACCCAGAGGGCUCCUCCCACCCACCCUUUCCAGAAAGGGCUGCCCAUCCCAGCGAGGCAGUCACUGCUAGGCUGCUCCUCCAGGGCCAGACACUGCCCUCAGGCUGGGCAGGGUGAGUCUCCUGGGACAACCAUGACGGUCCUGCAGGCUACUGCCUUCAAGUGCAGGCCCUGCCUCCCAGGCCUCAGCCUGUCCUGACCAACACCCCAGCCUCUCACCGCCCAGCGUCUAGACCUCUUCCUUGCUGGGGUCCUGCAAUGCCUCAGCCGUCCUGGGCUGCAAUAAAAGCCCCCACCGGGUGCCUGGCUUAUGCCUAUGGGGACAGGCAUGCAGGCAGCUUUGGCUGGGACACGACCCUGCCUGUGCAUCCGCUAUGGCCCUAGUCCUGCCCAAUACACCGAGUGUGGUUGCCGGGCUGGCCAUGGGCCACACCUCAGAAAGUGCUCCGUCUUCUGCAGGAUGCCUGCCAGGAGUCCCGUUCUCCACCCAGCCAGGCCUCAUUACCAUUCACACACUGACCCAACUCCAUGGCUGGACCUGCAGCCAGGGGUUUCAGAGACUGCCCCCUUCUUUCAGGAAGGGAACUGUCCUGGGCCAGGUCAGAUUAAGCCAGUCAGGUCCUUCCCGCUCAAGGGCCCCCAAUUUAUCUGGGAGCCCCACUUUACAGGUUUAGCCCACUCUAGAUAUAGUCCCCCCUCCGCAAGCCUGGCUUCAGAGGCUUCCUAAGGGCAUGGCCAAUAAGGCCAGUAGCCACAGCCUGGCUUGCUGUCUGCCAGGUAAAGCACUUUUCCAAGCAGUGACUCUCCCUCCGAGCAACCUGCUCCCAAUCCUGGGCAGAUCUGUAGACUGCAGAGGCCAGGGCACAUACACACUGGCCAGACACCCUGCCCAGGCUCCCAGGUCCUCCCCUUGCCCUCUAGAGACACAGCAUGGGUACCAGAGAGGCUGGAGAGCCAGUCCUGCAGGCAUCCUGCCAGCUCCCAUCCAUAAGGACUGGAGGCAGACCACAUCUGGCAUGGAGCCAUCCCUCCCUGCCAGCCACCCACAGCUCACACCCUCUUCCCAACAGGGCUGGCAAAGUGAGAUCCUCACCUCUCUGUCAUUGGCAUCUCUGGACUUGCCAAGAACCCACCUGGGCAAUAGCUACUCAUCCCCACCCCAACCCAAAGAGAUCACAAGCCAAGAGCAAAGGAGGCUGCCCUUGCCCGGCCCCCCAUCUCUCUCCAGCCAUAGGAAGGAAAGAUUAAGAAGAUUUAACAGUCAGGGAACAGUGGCUCAGGCCACUACUUUGGGAGGUCAAGGUAGUAAGAU